rnacentral:rRNA from 1 species
CAGCCGCCACGGGAAUACGUAGGGUGCAAGCGUUAAUCGGAAUUACUGGGCGUAAAGCGUGCGCAGGCGGUUUGUUAAGACAGAUGUGAAAUCCCCGGGCUCAACCUGGGAACUGCAUUUGUGACUGGCAAGCUAGAGUGUGCCAGAGGGGGGUGGAAUUCCGCGUGUAGCAGUGAAAUGCGUAGAUAUGCGGAGGAACACCGAUGGCGAAGGCAGCCCCCUGGGCCAACACUGACGCUCAUGCACGAAAGCGUGGGGAGCAAACAGGAUUAGAUACCCGAGUAGUCCCUGUCUCUUAUAC